rnacentral:lncRNA from 1 species
AUGACACUCAAGGCUGUGGCCCCGCAGCAGAGGAAGCAGUGGUGGUGGCGUCGGCGGCGGCGGCGGCGGCAGCCGGAGCGAGCAGUAGCCGAGCUGGUUUGCAUCCAAGAGAGGGGAGGACAGGGGCAAAAGGAUGCAGGGAGGCUGCUGAUUUCCACUGAAGAGCUAAUUUCCUGUGAGACAUUAACAGUGAUUUAAGAAAAAGAUUCCUGUAACUGUAAUGUCUUACAAUAACAGAAUGCAGGAGAGCACAUAUCAAUGAAGAAAAGACAAAAUGUACUUAUCCAUGAAGCUGAGGUUAAGAAACCAGUGUCUUCAAGAGCCAGGGACAGCACUGGGUCUGUGCAGAGUUGAGAGAUGGUGAUGACAUGUGACAGAGCUCCUUGCUGCUCAAAUUUUAUGCCAGAUAAAAUAUUCACCUUCUCGGACUCCCUGGCACCAGGCAUGGCCAUGUAAUCCUACAGCACAGCUGAUGAAAGAGAAGACAUCUUGCUGCUAUUUGACAAGCAAGAAGAUAAAAGCUUUCCUAUAAAGAUGAUGGAGCAAAAAAAUAGAAGGGGCCUAGACUCCCUACCUUCACACUUCCUGCUAUAAAAGCAUUGCUAUUAUAAGGUUAAUCUGCAGAAACAGACUUCUAUGUCAUAUGCUUAAAUGCAUCAAAAUUCAUACAAUAUCCAUUAAAUUGGUAAAAGUAUCCAUUUUAAAGGAUUAAUCUGAGGGACCCACAGACACUUAACACAAUCAAAUCUCAGAAAAAAAAUCAGUUAUUUCAUUGUGAUUUUGAGGCUGAUCUUUUAUGAUCUUUUAGUUAUCAAACUGUUAAAUACAUUUUAACUUUCAAAUUUUAUGAAUAAAGGAGAUGAAUCCUG